UCUGAGCUGUUUCCUGUCCAGUGAAACAGGGCUGGGGACAAGCCACAGCCCACACUCUGAGCCCAUCCAGGCACUGGGGCCUAAUCUGGAGUCAAGGCCUUGCUCUGGUAUUCAGUCUGGACUUGAAUGCCUGAGGCAAGGGGAAGCUCACCCCAUGACCUGUAGGACCUUUGCACCUGCUAUUUCCUAGGCCAGGCACUCAGCACCUCUUGUGCACGGCCAGUUCCUUCUCUCUAUACAAGUCUCACGUCAAGCCCACCUCCUCAUUGUCCCCUCUAUUGCUGCCCAGGUAGAAACUGAGGUUUAGAAAGAAGAAGUGACUGUUCCAGGUCACCCAACAGAGCCAGGCCUCACCCUCAGCCCGAGGCCACCCUUCCUGGCUGUGCCCACUACUGAGCAACCAGCCCAGCCAGUCCCCCUGUCCUUGCCCUUGUCUGGUUAGCCUAAUGAGGGCCUUGAGAGCCCAGAUGAAAGCAGCUGGGAAGGGCAGGGGUGAUUAUCUGUCCUAAUAGUGGGUGAUUCAGGCAGUGGCCAGCAAGGGCUCAGCUCCCCUGCCCGGCCUCAGAGCUGUGGGGUGACUGAGACAGGCCUGGGGUCGCUGGCGACCUGGGUGUCCUUUUAUCCCCAGCUUCUUCCAUCUCUUUCUUGGCUCUUUCAUCUCCUCUUGCCUCACAUACCACAAACACUUAUUGAGCACCUACUGUUUGCUGGGCAGGGCAGCAGGGACACGACUCCAACUCCAUGAGUUUCUGGGCACUUUGGCACCCUAGCUCCUCACCCCCAUACACACCCCAGUCAGGUCAUUUGCCCUCUCUGCCUCAGUUUCCUCAUCUGCCAAAUGGGUGUCCAGGAAGAACUAAAGGGGCCCCAACUCAGGUUCUGAGCUUGGUUUUGCAGGGUGAGGAGUUCAGAGUUCAGACCCAAGCUCUCCCCUCACCUCAUUAUGUACUGGACCCACAGGGGGCUCUUCCCAGAUCCUCAGUUUCCCCUCUGUAAAUGAGCCCAAUGACCCCAGCCUCUGCUCUUUGGCAAAGACCCUUCUGCUGAGCCAGGCUGGGAGCUGGGAGCCUCCUCUAUGAUCUUCACCUCAACUGUCCAACCCUCCCUCCAAGAGGGUUGGGCCCAUUUUACAGUUGAGGAAACUGAAGCCCCAGACGAGAAAUUACUUGGCCGACGCCACGCCUCCAGACGAACUUCUGGACCCUCCCUCAAGUGAGAGAGCCCAGCUCAUCGCUGCUACUACUGCCACUUGCAGCUAUUGUCCGCCUAGCUGCCCUGUACCCCGACCCCCUGGUAGCGCCCCCGGCCACUCACUGUCAGGGCUGUGGUGCCAGCGGGUGCCUUCGCCACAGGAGGCGGGCCGGGAUGAGGGGUGGGGCCGUGGUCAGACAGCCGACCAAUGUGCAGCGUCGGGAACAGGCCAAUACCGUUCCUCGGGAGCAGGGCCACAGCCGUAGGGGCGGAACAACUACACCACGGAGGCGGGGCCAGCCCGCGAGGCGGAGCCCAUUCGGGAAAACACGCCUCCGCGCGUGUUUGUCUGUCUUGCGGAGCGGGAAGAUAGGUUCUUGUCGGUGAUUCACCAGACUGGCCUGCAGGGGCUGCGUGGGUGUGAGGGUCAGAGAGGCGGGCCGCAGAGACAGAGAGAGAGACCUGGAGAGACAGAGACGGAGACGGAGACAGAGAGAGAUGGAGACAGGAAGAGACAAAGAGAUAGGAAACUGAGGGACAGAGAAAGAUAGAGACGGAAAGAAACAGAAACUUGAGAGUCUGUGAGAGACGGAGAGAGAGAGAGAUAAAACUGCAAGGAGAGAAGUUCCUGUCGUGGAUCAGUGGUUAAUGAAUUUGACUAGCAACCAUGAGGACGCAGGUUCGAUCCCUGGCCUCGUUCAGUGGGUUAAGGAUCCGGUGCUGCCGUGAGCUGAAGUGUAGGUUGCAGACACGGUUUGGAUUCCACGCUGCUGUGGCUGUGGUGUAGGCUGGCAGCUACAGCUCCAAUUCAACCACUAGCCUGGGAACCUCCGUAUGCUGCAGGUGCGGCCCUAAAAAGCAAAAUUAAAAAAAACAAAAAACUACAAGGAGAGACAGAGACUAUGAGACUAGACAGACACAGAUGGCUGAGACCGAAGGAAACACAUACGUGAGAAAUAGAGAAGUUGGACAGAGAAACUGGGAAGGAUGGAGCUGCCUGGGGGUCAUGGGUUGGGACAGAAGUUCUGGACCAAGUAUCAGUCCCUGCCGGCCAGGGCCCUGGACUGGGCUCUCCCAGGGAGGCUUGUCCACCCUUCAAACUGAGAGCCAGGCUCCAGGGCCAGGGGGCUUCACUGAGGGGUGAGCCCUGGAGAAAGUGUGGGUGGAGGAGCAGGUGCACUGUUGGAGGACUAAUGGGUGAAUAGGGCACAAUGGGCAGGAAGGUGGCCAAUGGGAGAAUGGGCAUGACUGUGGCCAUCUGAUGGGGACACAUAUGAUAACCAAGGGCAGUGCCCCAUCCCCAGCAUCCAGCCCAGCACAGUCAUCUGAGGCAGUAGGAAUGGGGCCGCCGUGUUUACACCUAUACCUGCUCAUCAUUUACAGACACACCCUGGGCCCUGGGCCCUGGGAGGGGAAGGCAGUGAACCUUCACAUACUCAGAGCCAAGCGGCAUCAUUGCCAGGUGGGGACACCAAGGCCCAAGAGGGGCAGCGACUUCCCCAAAGCCCCACACAGGACACAUGCCAGGGCUCACAUCCCUGCCUUUUGGCUCUUGGUGGCUAAGUCCUGCAGCCAAGGCCAAAGGCAGCACUUCUGAAUAGAACCAGGAUGAGGACCAGCCUGCCUGGAUGGACUGUGGGGGGAUAACCAGUCCAGCCAGACACCAUCCCCUGGAUGCCUUUCAGGUGGCUCUGGGGAAUCCCUGAUCCCUCUUCCUGGCCAGGCAGGGGGUGUGGCUGACACCCAUGCCUCAGUACCCCAGGACUGAGAUGGGGACCAUCACAGCCUUUCUCCAUACAGUCAGAGUCUGAGGCCAGCACUGGGUACCUACAUAUGUGCAUCACCACCCAAAGCCUUGGAUCCUCCUCCAGAAAAUGGGCCAGGAGAGGGAAGCUGGACGGCGGGAGCCAGGUCACCUCUGACCUCGCUGGGCAUCUGACUCACACCUGCACUUCCUGCCAGCUGGAAACCUAGUCCUCCCUUCCUAGACUGUGCCCUUCCCUCCCACCAAGAGGAUGAGGUCCACAGCCCCGUGUGUGUGUGUGUGUGUGUGUGUGUGUGUGUGUGUGUGUGUGUGUGGGGGGGGGGGACCCAUGCCUGGGAAGCCAGCUGUGCCCCAGGUGCUGCUGGAGUAUUUUUACCAAAAAUUCAGUUGAGAUAUAACUCACUCGCCACACAAUUCACUCAUGAAAGUAUGCGAUCAGUGCUUUCAGUACAGAGUUGUCGACUCUUACCUCCAAGUCCAAAACAUUCCAUCUCCCCAAAGACAAGCCCCAUCCCCAUCAGCAGUCACCCCUCAUCCCCUCCCCCAGCCCCUGACAGCCAGGAACCCACUCUCUGUCCCUGUGGUUGUGCCUGAUCUGGAUGUUUCCCAUCCAUGGAAUCCCACAGUGUGUCCUUCUGUGUCUGCUUCUCUCACUGAGCUUCAUGGUCUCCAGGUCCAUCCAUGUGGUAGCAAGUGUGGGUGCCUCUCUCCUGUUCACAGCUGAGUGAUGCUCCCGUGGGUGGAGGCCACAGCGUGUGUACUCAUUGUCCACCGAGGGACACUUGGUUAUUUCAGUGCUUUGGCUGUUGUGAUUCGUGUUGCUGUGGAUGUGGGUGUACAGGUUUAGGUGUGAACGUGGCCUCUACGCCUCUUCUGUAUUUCCCCAGGAGUGGAACUGUCGGGUCAUAGGGUUAUUCUAUGUUUGGCUUUUUUUUGGCCACACCUGUGGCAUAUGGAAGUUCCCAGGCUAGGUGGUGAAUCAAAGCCCUAGCUGCCAGCCUAUACCACAGCCACAGCAACGCUGGAUCCAAGCCACAUCUCUGACCUCCGCCACAGCGCACAGCAAUGCCAGAUCCUUAACCCACUGAGCAAGGCCAGGGA
ensembl:lncRNA